rnacentral:rRNA from 1 species
UUGAUAAUCCACGAUAAUUAUUACUUUGGCUUUAAAUUUACAUAUCGUCGUUAAUAAAAAUUUUUGGAUAUAAUUUUUUCAGAUCAAGGUGUAGUUUAUGUUGAAGAUAAAAUGGGUUACAUUAGAAAGCUUUAAUAAAAUGGAUUUGGAAGUAAGCUCUAAAAUAUGCACAUAUCGCCCGUCGCUUUCACUUUAAGGUGAAAUAAGUCGUAACAAAGUAGGCUUAUUGGAAAAUGAGCCUGGAAUGCAAAUUAGAGCUUGUUAAGCAUUUUAUUUACAUUAAAAGGUUAAUUGUGAAAUUCAAUUUAAUUUGAAAUUUUGGGGUUAUUAUUGUUGUUUUUUUGUUUUUUUUAGAAGAAGAAUAUUUUUUUUUAUUUUUUAUUUGAAAAAAUAUUAUAAUAGUUUAAUGUAUUGGGAUAGAAAUUUUUUAUUUUUGUUAAAGAAUACUUUUUUUUGUAGUACCUUGUGUCUCAGGGUUUAUUUAAUUAAUUUUCCCGAAUUUAAAAGAGCUAAUUUUACUGUUGAAUAAGUAUUUAUAAUUUUCUUUUUGUAAUGAAACGUUAUUCGUUUUUAAAUAUAUCUGGGUUUUUAAGAAAUUAAUUUAAUUUAGUGGAUGAGAAGUAAAAUUAUUAGGGGAUAAGCUUUUAGAUUAAUUUUUAUAAUAUUUUUUUCCUUAAAAAUAUAUAGGAUUAGAAUUUUCCAUUUUUUAGAGGAUGUUAUAAUUAAUGUAGGUUUUUUAUUUAAAUUUUAACUUUAAUUUUUUUGCUAAGUAAUUUUGAUAAAAUUAGUAAGGCUAAUUUAAGGAAUUCGGCAAAAUUAAUUUUCACCUGUUUAUUAAAAACACCUCUUUUUGUUUAUUAUUUAAGGUCUAACCUGCCCAAUGAUUAAAUGGCCGCAGUAUUUUGACUGUGCAAAGGUAGCAUAAUCAUUAGUUUCUUAAUUAGAAGCUGGAAUCAAUGGUUUAAUGAGAAAUUAACUGUCUCUAGAAUUUUAUUUUUGAGUGAAAAAGCUUAAAUUUUUUAUAAAGACGAGAAGACCCUAUAGAGUUUUUUUGUUGGGGUGAUGCUAAAAUUUAAUAAACUUUUAAUUUUUAUGGUUAGAUGAUCCUAGAUUAUAAGAUAAA